ACGUAGGACGCAAGCGUUAUCCGGAGUUACUGGGCGUAAAGGGCAGGCAGGCGGGUCGAUAAGUCGGAUGUGAAAUCUCCCUGGCUUAACCGGGAGAGUGCAUUUGAGACUGUCAACCUGGAGGGCAGCAGAGGAGCGUGGAAUUCCGGGUGGAGUGGUGAAAUUCGUAGAUAUUCGGAAGAACACCAGUGGCGAAGGCGACUUACUGGACAACUGUUGACGCUGAGGUGCGAAAGCGUGGGGAGCAAACAGGA
rnacentral:rRNA from 1 species